rnacentral:rRNA from 1 species
UACGUAGGUGGCAAGCGUUAUCCGGAUUUAUUGGGCGUAAAGGGAACGCAGGCGGUCUUUUAAGUCUGAUGUGAAAGCCUUCGGCUUAACCGUAGUAAGCCUUUGAAACUGGGAAACUUGAGUGCAGGAGAGGAGAGUGGAAUUCCUAGUGUAGCGGUGAAAUGCGUAGAUAUUAGGAGGAACACCAGUUGCGAAGGCGGCUCUCUGGACUGUAACUGACACUGAGGCACGAAAGCGUGGGGAGCAAACAGG